UACGGAGGGUGCAAGCGUUAUCCGGAUUCACUGGGUUUAAAGGGAGCGUAAGAGGGCAGGUAAGUCAGUGGUGAAAUCCCCGUGCUUAACAUGGGAACUGCCGUUGAUACUAUCUGUCUUGAAUGCCGUGGAGAUGAGCGGAAUAUGUCAUGUAGCGGUGAAAUGACUUAGAUAUGACAUAGAACACCGAUUGACGAAGGCAGCUCACUAAGCUGUAACUGACACUGAGGCACGAAAGCGUGGGUAGCGAACAGG
rnacentral:rRNA from 1 species